rnacentral:rRNA from 1 species
GACGAACGCUGGCGGCGUGCUUAACACAUGCAAGUCGAGCAGUAAGGCCCUUUCGGGGGUACACGAGCGGCGAACGGGUGAGUAACACGUGGGUGACCUGCCCUUAGCUCUGGGAUAAGCCUGGGAAACUGGGUCUAAUACCGGAUAUGACUCCAUGACGCAUGUUGUGGGGUGGAAAGCCUUGUGCGGCUAGGGAUGGGCCCGCGGCCUAUCAGCUUGUUGGUGGGGUGANGGCCUACCAAGGCGACGACGGGUAGCCGGCCUGAGAGGGCGACCGGCCACACUGGGACUGAGACACGGCCCAGACUCCUACGGGAGGCAGCAGUGGGGAAUCUUGCGCAAUGGGCGAAAGCCUGAUGCAGCGACGCCGCGUGAGGGAUGACGGCCUCGG